CCAGACUCCUACGGGAGGCAGCAGUGGGGAAUAUUGCACAAUGGGGGAAACCCUGAUGCAGCGACGCCGCGUGAGUGAAGAAGUAAUUCGUUAUGUAAAGCUCUAUCAGCAGGGAAGAAAAUGACGGUACCUGAGUAAGAAGCCCCGGCUAACUACGUGCCAGCAGCCGCGGUAAUACGUAGGGGGCAAGCGUUAUCCGGAUUUACUGGGUGUAAAGGGAGCGUAGACGGCAGUGCAAGUCUGGAGUGAAAGGGGGGGGCUCAACCCCCGGACUGCUCUGGAAACUGUACGGCUGGAGUGCAGGAGAGGGAAGUGGAAUUCCUAGUGUAGCGGUGAAAUGCGUAGAUAUUAGGAGGAACACCAGUGGCGAAGGCGGCCUGCUGGACUGCAACUGACGUUGAGGCUCGAAGGCGUGGGGAGCAAACAGGAUUAGAUACCCCAGUACUA
rnacentral:rRNA from 1 species